rnacentral:tRNA from 1 species
UGCCCCUUGGUCUAACGGCAAGACGUCUGACUCUGGCUCAGGUAAUCGGGGUUCGAAUCCCUGAGGGGCAACCA